rnacentral:tRNA from 1 species
GCAUUGGUGGCUCAGUGGUAGAAUUUUCGCCUUCCAUGCGGGAGGCCUGGGUUCAAUUCCCAGCCAGUGUA